rnacentral:rRNA from 1 species
GACGAAUGCUGGCUGCGUGCUUAACACAUGCAAGUCGAACGGUGAACAGGGGCUUGCCCCUGGGAUCAGUGGCGAACGGGUGAGUAACACGUGGGCAACCUGCCCCUCACUCUGGGAUAACUCCGGGAAACCGGGGCUAAUACCGGAUACGACCAGGCUCGACAUCGGGUCUGGUGGAAAGAACUUCGGUGAGGGAUGGGCCCGCGGCCUAUCAGCUUGUUGGUGAGGUAACGGCUCACCAAGGCGACGACGGGUAGCCGGCCUGGGAGGGCGACCGGCCACACUGGGACUGAGACACGGCCCAGACUCCUACGGGAGGCGGCAGUGGGGAAGAUUGCGCAAUGGGCGAAAGCCUGACGCAGCGACGCAGCGUGAGGGACGACGGCCUUCGGGUUGUAAACCUCUUUCAGCGGGGACGAAGCGAAAGUGACGGUACCCGCAGAAGAAGCACCGGCUAACUACGUGCCAGCCGCCGCGGUAAGAC